GUGACUGCGUACCUUUUGUAUAAUGGGUCAGCGACUUAUAUUCUGUAGCAAGGUUAACCGAAUAGGGGAGCCGAAGGGAAACCGAGUCUUAACUGGGCGUUAAGUUGCAGGGUAUAGACCCGAAACCCGGUGAUCUAGCCAUGGGCAGGUUGAAGGUUGGGUAACACUAACUGGAGGACCGAACCGACUAAUGUUGAAAAAUUAGCGGAUGACUUGUGGCUGGGGGUGAAAGGCCAAUCAAACCGGGAGAUAGCUGGUUCUCCCCGAAAGCUAUUUAGGUAGCGCCUCGUGAAUUCAUCUCCGGGGGUAGAGCACUGUUUCGGCAAGGGGGUCAUCCCGACUUACCAACCCGAUGCAAACUGCGAAUACCGGAGAAUGUUAUCACGGGAGACACACGGCGGGUGCUAACGUCCGUCGUGAAGAGGGAAACAACCCAGACCGCCAGCUAAGGUCCCAAAGUCAUGGUUAAGUGGGAAACGAUGUGGGAAGGCCCAGACAGCCAGGAUGUUGGCUUAGAAGCAGCCAUCAUUUAAAGAAAGCGUAAUAGCUCACUGGUCGAGUCGGCCUGCGCGGAAGAUGUAACGGGGCUAAACCAUGCACCGAAGCUGCGGCAGCGACGCUGAUGCGUUGUUGGGUAGGGGAGCGUUCUGUAAGCCUGUGAAGGUGUGCUGUGAGGCAUGCUGGAGGUAUCAGAAGUGCGAAUGCUGACAUAAGUAACGAUAAAGCGGGUGAAAAGCCCGCUCGCCGGAAGACCAAGGGUUCCUGUCCAACGUUAAUCGGGGCAGGGUGAGUCGACCCCUAAGGCGAGGCCGAAAGGCGUAGUCGAUGGGAAACAGGUUAAUAUUCCUGUACUUGGUGUUACUGCGAAGGGGGGACGGAGAAGGCUAUGUUGGCCGGGCGACGGUUGUCCCGGUUUAAGCGUGUAGGCUGGUUUUCCAGGCAAAUCCGGAAAAUCAAGGCUGAGGCGUGAUGACGAGGCACUACGGUGCUGAAGCAACAAAUGCCCUGCUUCCAGGAAAAGCCUCUAAGCAUCAGGUAACAUCAAAUCGUACCCCAAACCGACACAGGUGGUCAGGUAGAGAAUACCAAGGCGCUUGAGAGAACUCGGGUGAAGGAACUAGGCAAAAUGGUGCCGUAACUUCGGGAGAAGGCACGCUGAUACGUAGGUGAAGUCCCUCGCGGAUGGAGCUGAAAUCAGUCGAAGAUACCAGCUGGCUGCAACUGUUUAUUAAAAACACAGCACUGUGCAAACACGAAAGUGGACGUAUACGGUGUGACGCCUGCCCGGUGCCGGAAGGUUAAUUGAUGGGGUCAGCGCAAGCGAAGCUCUUGAUCGAAGCCCCGGUAAACGGCGGCCGUAACUAUAACGGUCCUAAGGUAGCGAAAUUCCUUGUCGGGUAAGUUCCGACCUGCACGAAUGGCGUAAUGAUGGCCAGGCUGUCUCCACCCGAGACUCAGUGAAAUUGAACUCGCUGUGAAGAUGCAGUGUACCCGCGGCAAGACGGAAAGACCCCGUGAACCUUUACUAUAGCUUGACACUGAACAUUGAGCCUUGAUGUGUAGGAUAGGUGGGAGGCUUGGAAGUGUGGACGCCAGUCUGCAUGGAGCCGACCUUGAAAUACCACCCUUUAAUGUUUGAUGUUCUAACGUUGACCCGUAAUCCGGGUUGCGGACAGUGUCUGGUGGGUAGUUUGACUGGGGCGGUCUCCUCCUAAAGAGUAACGGAGGAGCACGAAGGUUGGCUAAUCCUGGUCGGACAUCAGGAGGUUAGUGCAAUGGCAUAAGCCAGCUUGACUGCGAGCGUGACGGCGCGAGCAGGUGCGAAAGCAGGUCAUAGUGAUCCGGUGGUUCUGAAUGGAAGGGCCAUCGCUCAACGGAUAAAAGGUACUCCGGGGAUAACAGGCUGAUACCGCCCAAGAGUUCAUAUCGACGGCGGUGUUUGGCACCUCGAUGUCGGCUCAUCACAUCCUGGGGCUGAAGUAGGUCCCAAGGGUAUGGCUGUUCGCCAUUUAAAGUGGUACGCGAGCUGGGUUUAGAACGUCGUGAGACAGUUCGGUCCCUAUCUGCCGUGGGCGCUGGAGAACUGAGGGGGGCUGCUCCUAGUACGAGAGGACCGGAGUGGACGCAUCACUGGUGUUCGGGUUGUCAUGCCAAUGGCACUGCCCGGUAGCUAAAUGCGGAAGAGAUAAGUGCUGAAAGCAUCUAAGCACGAAACUUGCCCCGAGAUGAGUUCUCCCUGAC
rnacentral:rRNA from 1 species